UAGCAGCGGGAACAGUACUGCAGUGAGUGUUUGGUGCCCUGGAGUAUUGUUUCCGCUGCCUGG
rnacentral:pre_miRNA from 1 species